rnacentral:rRNA from 1 species
AUUGAACGCUGGCGGCAUGCCUUACGCAUGCAAGUCGAACGGUAACAGGUCUUCGGAUGCUGACGAGUGGCGAACGGGGGAGUAAUACAUCGGAACGUGCCCAGACGUGGGGGAUAACGAGGCGAAAGCUUUGCUAAUACCGCAUACGAUCUAAGGAUGAAAGCAGGGGACCGCAAGGCCUUGUGCGGUUGGAGCGGCCGAUGGCAGAUUAGGUAGUUGGUGGGAUACAAGCUUACCAAGCCGACGAUCUGUAGCUGGUCUGAGAGGACGACCAGCCACACUGGGACUGAGACACGGCCCAGACUCCUACGGGAGGCAGCAGUGGGGAAUUUUGGACAAUGGGCGAAAGCCUGAUCCAGCAAUGCCGCGUGCAGGAUGAAGGCCUUCGGGUUGUAAACUGCUUUUGUACGGAACGAAAAGGCUCUGGCUAAUACCUGGGGCACAUGACGGUACCGUAAGAAUAAGCACCGGCUAACUACGUG